CCCAAACCCCGCGGCCGUUGAGGAGCGGGAGCAACGACGGGUGACGCGGCGGGAGGUGUGAAAAUUGAGGCCUAGGGAAUUUAAGUGAUUCCUUCCUGGUUACAUGGGCCAUUACUGACAGUCCCAGGGCUGAUAUCCUGCAAUUGUUGAAAGAAGAGAGCGAAGGAGAGAGUUGUAAAGGCUGUAUUAAUAUGCUAACAGCUGUAGCCCUUAGAUGAUCCUUUAGCUGGGAAAAAAGUAUGGUGAAUGAACUAUUCCAACACUUAAAUCAAAUAUUCCAGUGAAUUUGCUUCAUCUAUGAUGCUGAUAAUUCUUUAUGAAGACCGAAAAUGUUACCCAGAAGUUAAAUUAUAUGCUGCAUUGAAAAGGAAAUACUGUACCUCAGAGAGGCCGGGACAGGAAUUGGAUAGACAUGGAUUGUCUCCUUAUCCUGGAAGAUGCCUGUCUGUAUGAAAUCAUUACCUGGAUCCUUGUUGAGAGCACGGUCUCUAUCUGAUUUCUGCCUCCAGCUUCUCGCUUCCAUACUUCCCUGCUUGAGGGCUUAGGAACCAUCCUGCUGCUUCAGUGUGCCACUGGCAUGGAAAUAUCAG